rnacentral:rRNA from 1 species
AACGAACGCUGGCGGCAGGCUUAACACAUGCAAGUCGAACGCCCGUAGCAAUACGGGAGUGGCGGACGGGUGAGUAACGCGUGGGAACGUGCCCUGAGGUACGGAAUAACUGCGGGAAACUGCAGCUAAUACCGUAUGAGCCCCGCAAGGGGGAAAGAUUUAUCGCCUUAGGAGCGGCCCGCGUCGGAUUAGCGAGUUGGUGGGGUAACGGCUUACCAAGGCUUCGAUCCGUAGCUGGUCUGAGAGGACGAUCAGCCACACUGGGACUGAGACACGGCCCAGACUCCUACGGGAGGCAGCAGUGGGGAAUAUUGGACAAUGGGCGCAAGCCUGAUCCAGCCAUGCCGCAUGAGUGAUGAAGGCCUUAGGGUUGUAAAGCUCUUUCAGUAGGGAAGAUAAUGACGGUACCUACAGAAGAAGCCCCGGCUAACUUCGUGCCAGCCGCCGCAGUAAGAC